ACAUUUUCUUCUUCCUUAAGACUCCCUAGAUGAGAACUAUGUGUUGAGAAUGACGAAAAUGUUCUUCCUCAUUGUUGUGAUGAAGGGAAGUUUGACUCUCCUGAGAUAUAGCUUGCCUGAACAUUACUGAGUCCUCAGAAGGAUGGCUAGAGAACAUCACUCUUAAUAGUUGGUUAGAGAGUUAUGGGAGCAUAUGAAGUUCAACUGUCAAAGAAUGAUUUAUGAAGACCUACUCCAGGAAUUUCUUCAGAUAAUGACUAAGAGCAAGAUAUAUCUGAAAGAAGACUCCUCAGACCAAAAUCUCUUCACCAUAUAUUAUACAAAAGCCAUACUCUGAAGAUGAUACCAGCUGUGAUAAGGUGGAAACAUAAUAGAUGGUGCCAUCUCUUCUACCAGCAGAUUCACCAAGACAGUCUUCACUAUACAUGCUGAUGCCUCUUUCCUGUGUAGCAGCAGACACCUCCUGCAGAUAAGAAAUGCUUAACUGAGAAAUGCUCAUGUUGGGAUAUCAUCGAUGAAACUUUAAUUUGGGCAUGGUGACUGUUUCCCUUGCUGCCACUUGACUCAAUCCCAGGAGCCUCAGUAGAGGAAAUAAUAUUGCACAAGAAGCUCAAAAUUGUGGAAAUAUUCAGUGCUCCUAUAAAUAUACACUGCUAAUUUUAAAAAUACGAGAUAUUAAAAAAGAACUGCAUGAUUUAAAAAAAAAACUCAAAGUAUACUUAUAUGAUACAAAAAUUAUGGGCCGUCUCUCUUUCAAGAGAAUUGAAAGUUUCCUAUAGUUUCCCCCCAUUAAGGAAGGGUUAUACAUGCUCUAAAGCAGAUAAAUAUAUGCAAAAAUGCACAUACUUUCUGGGGGAACUUCUAGCAGUGGGGCCAUAAUCUUAUGCAAAUUGCUACUUUUAUUUAAGAGUCUUUUUGAUGAGCUUUUCUAUUUCAGUACUACAUUAAUGUCUAUGUCAUUUUUUUGAAUGACUGCAUGACUGCUUUGUAGAUGAAAUAGAAUUAAAUGUUUUAAGCAUUGCCCAUUCAUAGACAUUUAUGUAGGUGCCAAAUUUCUGUGCAAUGAACUUCCAUAUAUAUAUAUAUAUAUAUAUAUAUAUAUAUAUAUGUUCAUAUAUAUGUAUAUUCACACAUACAUAUAUUAUCAAUAAUUCUGUAUUUGUCUCCUCUAUUACAGUAAAAUUACCUAGUACUUAAAUAUAUUAACACUUAAUUUUUUUAAAUUAUCACAAUUCCUUUUAAAUGUGCUCAAUAGCUUUCUCUUCAAUGGCAAUGCCUUAGAAUACCAUCCUCAUAAUCCACAUACAAUGGAUUUUACAAAUAUUUGAAAUCUCUUACAAUGUGUUAGUCCAACCUAUUGUCUUAAAUUGUAUUUAUUUUAUUUUUGAGUUUGAUCAUUUUCAUGUUUAUUAGCCAUCUGUAUUUUUUGAUUUCUUCUUUAUGUCAAAGUUUGAGAGUAUGUGGAGGUUUUAGUCUCUUUUAAAAAUCAUAUUUACAACUGGGGAAAAAUAAGAUUUUGGAUUGUCAAACAUUACAUGUUUUUCACACUUUUGAACUUUGUUUUGUUAUAAGAAUGUGUAUAAUUGUUACAUGUCCAACUAUAACCAUGUUUGCUUUUAUGGCUUCUGAGUUUCAUGUCAUUUUUGAAAAAAAAAAUAUAUUCUGAGCCCAUUAAGCCCCUCUCCUUUGUUAAUCCUAAUUCUUUUGUGUUUUUUAAUUCAAAUUCUAUGUCAUGAAAAGUAUUUUGUUUUAAAAUCUUAAAUAUGCAAGUUACUUGCCAUUACUUAUGAUUAUUUGCCAAUAAUUGCCCAUUUAUCUGUAAUGCCAUCUUGCACAUGUGCUGUAUUCAUCCGUGAAUGGCUCCAUUUUUGUUCUGUGGGUACGUGUGUCUCUUCUUCCGCCUCCUGUCUCAUGUGUCUUCUUGUUGGAAGAAAUUACAGUUUAGACUGCAAUUUCAUCAACCUUAAUAAAUUAAUUUGGGGAAACUGUUUUUAAAUAAUAUUGUCUUCAUAAUUAAGGACAAGGUAUGUCUCUUUUAUUAAACAUUUGAUUACUGUUUAUAUUUUCACCGUGAUGUUGGGUUUUUCUUUUCUUUUAUUUGCUUGUUCAUUUUUAUGUAUCUGAAACUUUUGUUUUGUUUUAUUUUGUUUUUUAGAUUUUGUUUUGUUUUGGGGAGGUUAAGUGGCCACGUUACUACUGAUUGUUUUCAGAAUGUACCCCAAAUUCUUUGCAAAUAUUGAUUUUCCUCCUCCCAAUUGAUAUUGAUUUUGGUUAUUUUGAUAAAAUUCCCCCGGACUGGUACUUUCAGAGCACUUAAAAAAUUUGUGGAAAUAUUACUCACACUUGAUUUAAAUGAUAUUUAACAAGUGCUUCUUAGGUUGAAUAGCACAUUGCUGCUGGUCUAUGCUUCCAAAAGACCACCUGAAAGAGCUAUGAUCAAGCAAAGUUGAGUUUAUUAAACUUACUGCAGCAAGGGAAAACACCACCUUAACAGGGUUUAAUAGUGGUUGAAAGACAAAAAAUGAAGGGCCUUUGGAUCUGGGUUUCUGUGGUUUAAAACACAGACAUGAUUAUGAAUGCAUAGUUCAGCAUGUGAUACUUUAAAAUGAAUGGGGGUGUGGUGAGAUUCUUAAUGUGCUUCUUGAUAAUCAAACUGUUAUCUAAGUGAGCUGUUUCUCUUAAUAGAUAUUUAUAAUGACAGAAGAGCUAUUGCCUAUGAAAGAAAUAGAAUUUAUCAAUUUAUAGUUCUGUCUUGCUAAGCAGGACUUACUAGGGUUGGUAUCAGGUCUUAUUCCCAAAAGGUAAGUUAUUUUUUUUUAAUGUGAAUGGUUUUAAGUGUCAAUGUAAGACUAUAGCUUUUAACUCUGAGAUAUUUGGUAUAUUCUUUUAGAAAAGUCUUCCUUCCACGUUUUAUAUUUUUCUAAAGAAUUUGAAUCAAACCUAGGUGGAAGAUGUAAUUGUUCCUUUUUACCCAAAUAAUUGUACUAUUCUUUUUUUGAAUUAUUAAUUGCUGUACAAUAUUUAUUUUUUAAUUUUUAGAAAUCCUUUUAUUCCACGAGUGAGCAUACUUUUGUUUUGCUUAAUUCUUUUUAUUUACUGCUGAGCUAUAGACACUUAAAUUUGAUUUGAAAUUUUUGAGUGUAUAUGAUUAUAUGAAAUCACUUUUCCAUUGACUUUUCUUUUCUACUUUGGUGUUAGCACUUCUGAUUAUGUCUAAACAAUGUAGAUAAUUUUCUUUAUGAUGCUCAAUGAGUUGGUACCAUGAUUACUUGAGCACAUCAGUGAAAUCAGCUGCUGUACAGUGGUGGUCCAUGUAAAUAAGACUGUAUAGUUUUGCUCCCAUCUUACUAGUUAUUGUUCAUUUCAUAUCUGGUGUCUUCUGUUUAACAUUUUUCUCAUAGAGGAUCACAGUGCACACAGACUUUCUAUCACACUAUUUAAACUGUGCCUUUUUAAAGGAGCAAGUUACAAAAUGGGUUUUAGAAUUGCCAGGUUUUUCCCUCUCUUCCACAAUCAAGAUUUUAGCAUAGUUUUUAAGUUUAUAAAAAGUCCAUAUGUGUGUAUGUGUGUGUGUGAGUGUGUGUGUGUGUUUUCCCUUUGCGCUUUGCCUCUUUUAGUAAGAAAUGCUUAAACACUUGUAAACUAUUCACUUCCAUUUGUUCUUAGUAAUUAAAAAUGUGCUUUCUUAUGUACUCUCUGAAAUUAUAACCAUGGAGCAGGAGAGGAAAGGAUGGUGAAGUUGUACAUACCAAGGCAAGAGCCCAUGUUACAACAUGAUUGAUCUUUGCUGGAUAUUCUUCAUGUUAUUUAAAAAAACAUUUUUUAAAUGAGAGGAUGAGUAGGUGGUUUAGUUGUUAAGGUCUUGAGUUCAAAUCCCAGAACCCAUGUUUAAAAAGCUGGAUGUGGUGAUACAUGCUUAUAAUCUCCUUGAUAGAAAUAAGAACCAGGCUGAUCCCUGGGGCUCACUAGGCAUCCAGCCCAUCUUAAUUAGUGGCCUCCAGACCAAUGAGAAACCCUGUCUCAAAGCAAACAAACAAACAAACAAAAAACUACAGACAUGCUAAAGCAGAUUGUGCUAAGCAAUAACAACCACAGUUGUUCUGGCCCUACACCUGGCACUCCCUCCCUCACCAUACACACAUAUGCCUGGGAACUCAAGCACACUCACCAAAUAUUUUUUUUUAAAUGAGUCAGGUAAAUCUUAGCAGUUUUUCCUCAGAGACAGCUUAAAAUGCAUAUAUUUAUUCAUUUCUUCCUUAAUUUUAGAGGAGAAAUACAUGCUUACCAUAGUUCACAUGUAUAGACCAGAGGAUAACUUGGAAUCAAUUCUCUCCUUCCACUAUCUAGGUUCCAGGGAUUGAGUGCAAGUCAUCAGGCUCUGCAACAAACACAUUUACCUGCUGAGUCAUCUCACUGGCCAUUUAAAAUGUUAUAAGCCUGAAGGGUUGCUUGUACUUCAGAGAAAUCAGGUAAGCCAUGACAUUGCUUCUGUUAAUGCCCAUUUUGUUUUCUCAGGUUCUUGAUAUCAUAUAUUCAGAGAUGUAGAUCAGUGACUAUAUAAGAAUGCUUUUAAUGAGGUCUCUAUUGUGAAGAGUACCAUCCCCUCUUUCAACAAGGCAUCAUUUUUCUUAUUUUUCCUUUAGAAAAGGUUCUGGAUUUAUGAGAUGGUAAUUGAGGAAUAACUGAGAGAAGGUAGUGUCAUUAAAUCAAACAUCUACUCAAGCUUUAAUCUUCCUAAAUAGAAAACAGUUCACUGGUGUACAGAAAACAGUUCUAAAUUUAGUAUUCAGCUCUAAUGUGAGGUUUUCAGUUUUGGAGCUUGCAUCAUCAAUGCUAAAGCCUCGUAAGAUCCCUAUCUCACUCAUAUCUAGCAUGCAAACAUUAAUACUCAAUUACCAAUAGGCUUCUGUAUCCCCAGUGAUGAAAACAAGGACCAUAACUGUACAACUUGAAGGCCCCAAGAACAUUGAUAUAAAUAAAUAGGCUUUGGGGGAAUCAGAGAUCCUUAGAAAUGAAUUUUCAAACUGGAUUAAUUGUGUUUUAACUCAUUUGUAAUUAGGAUACCACAUUAGAAGUGUUAUCUGUUUAUUUCUUAAGCAUGUUUUAAAGCAUUUUCCUUCUUUUUACAGAGAUAAUGCACAUACAUGUGUCUUGUUGCACUGGUCACAAGAGCAAAGGCAUGAUACCAGACUAGGCGCCCAUCCACAGACUAAGGCACAAAUGAAAUGGAAUGAAGAAAGGAAGGUUUAAGGCUUUUGAUAUGAAGCAUACAAUGAAUACACAUGCAAAGCAAAGAUCAUGCAAAAGAAACAGAAAGAAGUAUUUUGUCCCAGAUAAAUUGUGGUAUGCAAUAUUCUCAAUAAGAAAUUGUCAAGGAAUUAAAGGUUAUCAAGGAGGGCUGCUUAUACUUCUGGAAAGACAGAUAAGCAAUGAUGCUGUUACUGUUGAUCUUUCUGUGUUCUAGGAUUAGGCAUUUCAUAAAAUUAUUGUCUGUGAGAUCAUCAGCUAAAUAGUAUUUUUAUUAUGUCACUCUUUUGACUGUUUUACUUUAAUUCUUUCCUUAAAUAUCAAUUUCCCCAUUUCAUGACUCUAUUAUGGUAGGCCUCAAAUUUUGAAUACCUGAUGAAAGAUAAUGAAAUUUUAGCAAAAUAAUUAUCAAUGCCUGCAUCUUUGUUGAUUAUAAAUAAGUCCAGUGAGGUGUAGCAUGCAGUAAAAUGACUAUAGUAUCAAGUUCAAAUGGAAGACUUUCUUUUUAGCGUUUUAAUGUAGAGAUUUAAAUAUAAAA